CGAGGAUAGGUAGAGAGAAAACAAGAGACGAGGAUAGGUAGAGAGAAAACAAGAGACGAGGAUAGGUAGAGAGAAAACAAGAGACGAGGAUAGGUAGAGAGAAAACAAGAGACGAGGAUAGGUAGAGAGAAAACAAGAGACGAGGAUAGGUAGAGAGAAAACAAGAGACGAGGAUAGGUAGAGAGAAAACAAGAGACGAGGAUAGGUAGAGAGAAAACAAGAGACGAGGAUAGGUAGAGAGAAAACAAGAGACGAGGAUAGGUAGAGAGAAAACAAGAGACGAGGAUAGGUAGAGAGAAAACAAGAGACGAGGAUAGGUAGAGAGAAAACAAGAGACGAGGAUAGGUAGAGAGAAAACAAGAGACGAGGAUAGGUAGAGAGAAAACAAGAGACGAGGAUAGGUAGAGAGAAAACAAGAGACGAGGAUAGGUAGAGAGAAAACAAGAGACGAGGAUAGGGAGAGAGAAAACAAGAGA